UGCGAACGGGUGAGUAAUGCGUGACCGACCUGCCCCAUGCACCGGAAUAGCUCCUGGAAACGGGUGGUAAUGCCGGAUGCUCCAUCACACCGCAUGGUGUGUUGGGAAAGCCUUUGCGGCAUGGGAUGGGGUCGCGUCCUAUCAGCUUGAUGGCGGGGUAACGGCCCACCAUGGCUUCGACGGGUAGCCGGCCUGAGAGGGCGACCGGCCACAUUGGGACUGAGAUACGGCCCAGACUCCUACGGGAGGCAGCAGUGGGGAAUAUUGCACAAUGGGCGCAAGCCUGAUGCAGCGACGCCGCGUGAGGGAUGGAGGCCUUCGGGUUGUAAACCUCUUUUGUUAGGGAGCAAGGCAUUUUGUGUUGAGUGUACCUUUCGAAUAAGCACCGGCUAACUACGU
rnacentral:rRNA from 1 species